rnacentral:tRNA from 1 species
UCCUAGGUGGUUCAGAUGGUAAAGAAUCUGCCUGCAAUGCAGGAGACCUGGGUUCAAUCCCUAGGUUGGGAA